GUCUCUACGAAAAAUAAUAUACAGUCUAGCCUGCCCAGUGAAUAACUUAAAUGGCCGCGGUAUCCUGACCGUGCAAAGGUAGCAUAAUAAUUAGUUUUUUAAUUGAAAGCUUGCAUGAAUGGCUGGACAAAGAAAAAUCUGUUUCUACUUUUUUUUUAAAAUUUUACUUUUAGGUGAAAAGGCCUAAAUAAACUUAAUAGACGAUAAGACCCUAUAAAUCUUUAUAUGAUCUUUUCUUAUGAGUAAUUAUUUGAGUUUAUUUUUUAUAAAAAAAAGAUAUAUUUUGUUGGGGCGACAAGAAUACUAAAACUGUUCUAAUUUUCAAACAAAAAUUUUUGUCUAUAGUAGAUCCUUCACUGAAGAUUAAAAAUUUAAGUUACUUUAGGGAUAACAGCGUAAUUUUUUUUGAGAGUUCAUAUCGACAAAAAAGUUUGCGACCUCGAUGUUGAAUUAAAGUUUCUUUAUAAUGCAGCAGUUAUAAAAGUAAGUCUGUUCGACUUUUAAAACUUU
rnacentral:rRNA from 1 species